CCGGCACGCUUUUACCGUCGCGGAACGAAAUGGUCCACCAUCGAGAACCCGUCGGGCCCGGAUUACGAAGAAUAGCGCACGUGUUUUUUUUUUUUUCUAACCGACAACGCAUUCCGAGUACUGACGCGAUUCGUGUAACCGCGUGUACCGUAGUACGCGUUAACGGGCGAAACGUUUUCUCAGCUCAAUUUCGUUUUUCGUUUCGUUUUUUUAGGGAAAUUUUUUUUUUUAAUUAAUUUUUCGCGCACCAUUUACGCGAUUUUCAGAAAUAUUUUUAAUUACAAUAAUUGUAUUUACUUU